AUUAAUAAACAGCCACUUAACCUAGUAUGGGAUGCCUUUCCAUCCUCCACUAGAAACCAUCCAGGUGUUAGUCCUCUUUCGUAGCUUCUAAGAUUUGCUAAUAACAGUUACUUUGCAUCCCAUUCAAGACACGCACACACGCGCGCACACACUUUUUUAACCCUGAGAUGUAACCAAGCCUGUGCCAGAUGCUUGCGUGAGGCAGGUGCUUGGCCCAGAGUGGGGCCUCCGCACCCCCAGGGUUCUACCAGACUCUCCUCUGUCCUAGCACUUUCUGGGAGCCGGCAGCACUGUUUCCUCAUGGCAUUUGCCUUCUCUCUAAAAACUUCCACACUCCCAUAAGGGGAGGGAAAAAAUGAGGGUAUUCUUCAGCCCAAGAUCAGAAGUCUGGUGCUUGCUUGCUACUCUGUGCUGCACAACCAGACUAGAUCAGAGCUCUCGUGCCUGUCGAAACCACACUUCAGCAGAGGUCAGUGGAAACCUGCCUGCUGUGUUGCCAUUAGGGAACCAGGAGAGUCGCUGUGAGAGGCAAGGGGAAAUACUGGGAAAUACGGCCCACAAUGCAUUGGAAUUUUCUUUUAAAUGCCCCCCACACCACGGCUAGGUUGAGGCUGCAAGCUCUGCUUGGGGCCACUGCCGCAGCCUUGUACUGUCAGGUUCCUACGGCCCCCAUAGGGUAACAGUGAAGCUUCCUGAUGGAAUGCACGGGGAAUGGCUUAGUCAAAAGAAGGGUGGGGUGGGGGGUGCCUGGCUGGCUCAGUGGGUUGGGAAUCCGACUCUGAUGUCCUCUCAAGUCAUGAUCUCAGGGUUGUGGCAUCGAGCCCGCGUCGCGUCGGGCUCCACGCUUAACGUGAAGCAUGCUUAGGAUUCUCUCUCUCCUCUCUGCCCCGCCCCGCCCCGCCCCGCCGUCUCUCAGAAAGUGUGGGCUAGGAAUAUCCGGAAAAGACGAUAGGAGAGCCAGUAUCAGGGAAGACCUUCGUGGUCUCAAAUUCUCCAGUGGAGCCUUCAGUCCCAGGUCAUAAGGCCGGUUCCAGAGGGGGUGCUGGAUUUGGGCUGUCUUGAGAAAGACAGGAGGCAAGGUGCGCAAGCUUUGAAACUGGGUGUCCGCCUCGGAAUUCUCUUCGUCGGCGAGACGCACAGAAUGUCCACGGUCCCUUCUAAUCCCAGAGAAGCGCGCCGGCCGGGUUUUACUGAGAAGGGAAAUGGACCGAGAGGCCCGGAGGCAAUGACCUUCGGGACUGGAGCAAGUCUCUGGCCGGCUCUAACCGGCGUCCCCGCAGCCCGACCCCAGGCCGGGUUGAGGGCGCGCCCCGCUUCCGGAGGCGGGGUCCCAGAGGCCCCAGCUGGGGCUCCUGGAGCGCUGAGGGGUCCCAGGUGGGGCGCGGGGCGGGGCGGGGCGCGGGCUAAAGGCAGGGGCUGCGCUCGGGAGGAGAGGCCCGCCGCGGCGCCUCGGUGAACGCCGUGAACGCCAUGAACGCCAGCGGCCCGGGCUACCCGCUCGCCUCGCUCUACGUGGGCGACCUGCACCCCGACGUGACCGAGGCCAUGCUGUACGAGAAGUUCUCGCCCGCCGGCCCCAUCCUGUCCAUCCGCGUGUGCCGCGACGUGGCCACCCGCCGCUCGCUGGGCUACGCCUACAUCAACUUCCAGCAGCCGGCCGACGCGGAGCGGGCACUGGACACGAUGAACUUUGAAGUGAUCAAAGGCCAGCCUGUCCGCAUCAUGUGGUCCCAGCGAGACCCAGGACUCCGCAAGUCAGGUGUGGGCAACAUCUUCAUCAAGAACCUGGAGGACUCCAUUGACAACAAGGCCUUAUAUGACACCUUCUCCACCUUUGGGAACAUCCUGUCUUGCAAGGUGGUAUGUGACGAUCAUGGGUCCCGGGGCUUCGGCUUUGUCCACUUUGAGACCCACGAGGCUGCGCAUCAGGCCAUUGCCACCAUGAACGGGAUGCUGCUGAAUGACCGCAAAGUCUUUGUGGGCCACUUCAAGUCCCGACGGGAGCGGGAAGCAGAGCUGGGAGCUCGGGCCAUGGAGUUCACCAACAUUUAUGUGAAGAACCUCCAUGUGGACGUGGACGAGCAGGGCCUGCAGGACCUCUUCUCCCAGUUUGGUGGGCAAGUUCCCCGAGGGAAUCAGGGAUUACUUCGUCUAUUCUCAGGUUGGGCUGGGAGGAGGGGCCUUUCUGGGGGCUUCCUGAGGGGUCAGCAGGGGGCAGCAUUAAGUAGUCUAAAACCACGUGGUGGGGGAAGGGAGGAGAACAUCUUGGGACUUCCCAAACUCCCCUUUGAGCCAGGUUGGCCUUUCCCAGGGAAAAUGCUGAGUGUGAAGGUGAUGAGGGAUGACAUCGGCCACUCCCGAGGCUUCGGCUUUGUCAACUUUGAGAAGCAUGAAGAAGCCCAGAAGGCUGUGAUGGACAUGAAUGGGAAGGAGGUGAGCGGGCGGCUGCUGUACGUGGGCCGGGCCCAGAAGCGGGUGGAACGGCAGAAUGAGCUGAAGCGCAGGUUCGAGCAGAUGAAGCAGGACCGGGCGACCCGUUACCAGGGCGUGAACCUGUACGUUAAGAACCUGGAUGACUCCAUCGAUGAUGAGAAGCUGAGAAAAGAGUUCUCUCCCUAUGGCGUGAUUACUAGCGCUAAGGUGAUGACAGAGGGUGGCCACAGCAAGGGGUUUGGCUUUGUGUGUUUUUCCUCCCCAGAAGAGGCGACGAAGGCCGUGACCGAGAUGAACGGGCGCAUCGUGGGCACCAAGCCGCUGUACGUGGCACUGGCCCAGCGCAAAGAGGAGCGGAAGGCCAUCCUGACCAACCAGUACAUGCAGCGUCUCUCCACGGUGCGGGCUCUGGGCGGCCCCCUCUUGGGCUCCUUCCAGCAGCCUGCCAGCUACUUCCUGCCUGCCGUGCCCCAGCCUCCAGCCCAGGCUGCCUACUAUGCCUCCAGCCCCUCCGUGCAGCCCGCCCCCAGGUGGACGGCCCAGCCUCCUAGAGUCUCCUCCACCUACCCUCCAGCUGCCUCAAUGGUCCGGCCACCAGCCAUGUUGCGGCGCCCCCCGGCCCAGGUCAACAGUGUCAGGCAGGCCUCUACCCAGGUGCCACCCCCGGGGCCCCACACCCAAAGAGUGGCCAACAUUGGUACCCAGACCACAGGAGCCAGCGGGGUGGGAUAUUCUACCCCAACCGGGCCUGUCCUGACACACAAAUAUUCCUCAGCAGCACACAACCCUGGGGUGCGGGAGUCGGCUGUGUGCAUCCCGGGACAGGAGCCCCUGACGGCGUCCAUGCUGGCCGCGGCCCCGCUGCACGAGCAAAAGCAGAUGAUUGGUGAGCGUCUGUACCCCCUCAUCUAUGAUACCCACACCCAGCUGGCCGGCAAGAUCACGGGCAUGCUGCUGGAGAUCGACAACUCAGAGCUGCUGCUCAUGCUGGAGUCCCCCGAGUCCCUCAACGCCAAGGUGGUCUGGGGCCUGGGCGGCAGGGCGGCCCGCCAGGGCAGGAGGAGAGCUCACAGCAAAGACCUCUCCUAGGGGCGCUACCAGGCUGUGGCUGGGACGGUUUACCUUUUCGCUAAACUUUCAGCUAGUACUUGUUGAAUCUUUGGGGGGGGGCCCUUAAGGGUUGGCCAUUACAGCCCCUCCAGAUUAAUCCUUUGUAGCUCUGCAUGCAAGGUUUUGGGACCAGGAGCUGUGUUCUGACGGAGUGUAGGGUUAGGAUUCUCCCAGCUGUCCAGCGGUGGACACCUGUCUUGAGCAGGUGACCGUGGGUUUCCGUCAGGGGCGCCUGCCAGCAGCAAUGCUGCGGAGGGAGGGGACUUCCCGUACCUAGCACGCUUAGGCAGGGAGGCCAGGGCUCUGCUGGGACCCCACGGGGCGGCCGCCCUCACCACCGUCCCCUCACUCGUGUCCCACAGGUGGAAGAGGCUCUGGCAGUGCUGCAGGCACAUCAGGCCACGGAGCUGACGGCUGUGAACGUGCUCUGAAACCAGAAAAUGGAAUCCUCACUGCCUUGGCUGACAAGAGGAUGGCGUUUCCUGCUCUUGGCUCUCUGUCCCUGGGAACC